GGUGCUUCAUAGAAUAUUGGUGACAUUCAUCAUUUUCUUACAGUUCUCUCUCUUAGAAAGGUAGUUUCCAUCCUGCUCAGCGAUUCAUGUCCAGAACACAAAGUAUUCUAUUUCGGGGUGUACAAGAACCCUUGCAGUUCCUUGGACAUGUGACACUCGGUUUGAAGUGAUGCAAUCACUCAGUCAGAAGAUCAGCAGUGGCAGACUUCGCUAGAAAAGACAGUGCAGCAAUUGGAAAGCAGUAGGCACAGAAGAUGACCUAACAUGAGAUAGACUGACACAAUAAAGAAAGUCCAAGCCUGAGCA
rnacentral:lncRNA from 1 species